rnacentral:rRNA from 1 species
CCUACGGGUGGCAGCAGUGAGGAAUAUUGGUCAAUGGGCGCGAGCCUGAACCAGCCAAGUAGCGUGAAGGAUGACUGCCCUACGGUUUGUAAACUUCUUUUAUAAAGGAAUAAAGUGAGGCACGCGUGCCGUUUUGUAUGUACCUUAUGAAUAAGGAUCGGCUAACUCCGUGCCAGCAGCCGCGGUAAUACGGAGGAUCCGAGCGUUAUCCGGAUUUAUUGGGUUUAAAGGGAGCGUAGAUGGGUUGUUAAGUCAGUUGUGAAAGUUUGCGGCUCAACCGUAGAAUUGCAGUUGAUACUGGGAGUCUUGAGUACAGUUGAGGUAGGCGGAAUUCGUGGUGUAGCGGUGAAAUGCUUAGAUAUCACGAAGAACCCCGAUUGCGAAGGCAGCUUACCAAACUGUCACUGACAUUGAUGCUCGAAAGUGUGGGGAUCAAACAGGAUUAGAUACCCUUGUAGUC